rnacentral:lncRNA from 1 species
UAUUGUAUUAAAAUUUGCCAUAUGUGAUUACUGAAAUCUCAAAGUAGCAGAAAAAUCAUGAGUUGUCCAGAUUUGCAUACCCUUUUGUCCGACUUUUAGUGUUUACAUCUAACGUUUUAUGCUGCAAAGUGAGAGGAUUAGAUGGUUGUCUCGUUGUUUUAGUUCAUAUUGAAUUUAAGUGUGUUUGAGAGCUGCUGAGAGCUUGCGGAUAAAAAUUGCAAAAGGAUAGCUUCAUUUGCAGAAAUAAGAACAAAGAAAGCCUCGUGGCAUGCAUGAAAAACUUUCUAAAAUUGUAGUUUGAUCCCUCAAUUUUCUCUUUAUUUCACUAUGGCCCUAAAAACUUUUAACUUCUUUCAAUUGGGUCCCAAGUCUAAUUGCAAAUGGAUCCCUAAACUGUAUUUUUCUUUAAUUUUGACCCCAAAAAUUUGUUAAUUUUUGCAAUCAAGUCCUACUUGUUUUAAUUUCUUCAAUGUAGGUUGUUUACAUGAAUUAAUUGAUUCAAUUUCAUGUUUAUUUUCAAUUCCAUAAUUAUUUGUCAAUUAAAGCGAUGCUUUGACCCUUUCUUUUAUUUUGGAGGGUAAAUAAGUGAUUUCACUUCAUUAGGGACCUAACUCAAAGGAGGUACACCCUAUCUCUCAUUUCUUAUUUUAUUUGACCCUACGUGCCUUAUGUGACUUUACGUGUUUAAUUGCAUGUCUCUUGAAUAUUUUUAUUUAUUAUUCAUUUCAUUCAUUUAUUUAUUUUUCUUAAUUGGCUUUAAUUUUAUAUAUUUAUUUAAUUUAAUUUGUAAUUAUUUGGAGAAAGCAAUUAAAUGC